rnacentral:rRNA from 1 species
UACAGAGGUCCCAAGCGUUGUUCGGAUUCAUUGGGCGUAAAGGGUGCGUAGGUGGCGCCGUAAGUCGGGUGUGAAAUUUCGGAGCUUAACUCCGAAACUGCAUUCGAUACUGCGGUGCUUGAGGACUGGAGAGGAGACUGGAAUUCAUGGUGUAGCAGUGAAAUGCGUAGAGAUCAUGAGGAAGACCAGUGGCUAAGGCGGGUCUCUGGACAGUUCCUGACACUGAGGCACGAAGGCCAGGGGAGCAAACGGG